rnacentral:rRNA from 1 species
UACGUAGGGGGCUAGCGUUGUCCGGAUUUAUUGGGCGUAAAGAGCGUGUAGGCGGCCAGGUAGGUCUGCUGUGAAAACUCGAGGCUCAACCUCGAGAUGUCGGCGGAAACCAUCUGGCUAGAGUCCGGAAGAGGAGAAUGGAAUUCCCGGUGUAGCGGUGAAAUGCGCAGAUAUCGGGAAGAACACCCGUGGCGAAGGCGGUUCUCUGGGACGGUACUGACGCUGAGACGCGAAAGCGUGGGGAGCGAACAGG